rnacentral:ncRNA from 1 species
UUUGAGCCGAGGGGCCUUACGGAAACAUCAAGCAGCGCUAGCUGGAAACCGUAGUAAGCGAGCCCGCAACACGUGAAGGACUGACUGAAGCGUGAUGAAAUACUGAGCCCACUUCGCAAGGGGCAGUCAGGCAGUAGUAAU